UUCCAGACUCCUACGGGAGGCAGCAGUGGGGGAUAUUGCACAAUGGGGGAAACCCUGAUGCAGCGACGCCGCGUGUGGGAAGACGGUCCUCUGGAUUGUAAACCACUGUCCCCAGGGACGAAGAUGACGGUACCUGGGGAGGAAGCUCCGGCUAACUACGUGCCAGCAGCCGCGGUCAUACGUAGGAUCCGAGCAUUAUCCGGAGUGACUGGGUGUAAAGAGUUGCGUAGGUGGCAUAAUAAGUAGCUAGUGAAAUCUGGUGGCUCAACCAUUCAGACUAUUAGCUAAACUGUUAAGCUCGAGACCGUUAGGGGUAACUGGAAUUUCUAGUGUAGGAGUGAAAUCCGUAGAUAUUAGAAGGAACACCAAUAGCGUAGGCAGGUUGCUGGGACGGUUCUGACACUAAGGCACGAAAGCGUAGGGAGCAAACGGGAUUAGAUACCCCAGUACU
rnacentral:rRNA from 1 species